UACGUAGGGUGCGAGCGUUAAUCGGAAUUACUGGGCGUAAAGUGUGCGCAGGCGGCCGAGCAAGUCGAGUGUGAAAGCCCCGAGCUUAACUUGGGAACUGCGCUCGAAACUACUUGGCUAGAGUGUGGCAGAGGGAGGUGGAAUUCCACGUGUAGCGGUGAAAUGCGUAGAGAGUGUGGAGGAACACCGAUGGCGGAAGGACAGCCUCCUGGGCCGAACACUGACGCUCAUGCACGAAAGCGUGGGGAGCAAACAGG
rnacentral:rRNA from 1 species